UCUCUAAUUCUUAAAUUGUGCUCUUUUGCCUUAAUCUCUCUCUUUUUUUCUGCUUCAUUAUUCUCCCUAAGUUUGUCCUCUGUGUUGCUGAUUCUCUGUUCUGCCUCAUCCAUCCUUGCUGCUGCGGCACCCAUUCGUGAUUGCAGCUCAGUUAUAGCAUUUUUUAUUUCAUCCUGACUAGUUUUUACUUUUUUUUAUCUCUGCAGAAAGGGAUUCUAAUCUGUUUUCAACUCCAGCUAGUAUUCUUAUUAUCGUGAUUCUAAAUUCUGGUUCAGACAUCUUGCUUGUAUCUCUGUUGGUUAAGUCCCUGACUGUCGUUUCUUCCUGCUCUUUCUUUUGGGGUGAAUUCCUUCAUUUCAUCAUUUUGAAGGAAGAAAAGGAAUUAAUGAGGUAGAAAAAAUUAAAAUUAAAAAAUAUUAAAAUUAAAAAAUUAAACACACACACAUACAAAAUCGAAUAAAUGAUGCUAGAUCCUAGGUGUGUUUUGGUCUGGGUGUUGAAAGUGGCUUGAAAGGGGCACCUGGGUGGCUCAGUGGGUUGAGCGUCUGACUUUGGCUCAGGUCAUGAUCUCACGGUCUGUGGGUUCAAGCCCCGCGUGGGGCUCUGUGCUGACAGCUCAGAGCCUGGAGCCUGUUUUGGAUUCUGUGUCUCCCUCUCUCUCUGACCCUCCCCUGUUCAUGCUCUGUCUCUCUCUGUCUCAAAAAAUAAAUAAACAUUAAAAAAAAUAAAAAAAAAAGUGGCUUGAUAGAUUAGAGAAAAAGGGGAAAAAAAGAAAAAAAGGAAAUAGUUUGAAAAUUUGAAAAAAAUGAAUGCACUGAAGUAGACUAAAUUGAAAUGAUGGAAGUAAAAUAGAAUUUGAAAAAAUAUACACAAAAAUAAAGAAUAUAGUAGAAAAAAAUGAAAGAAAAAUAUUUUUAAUAAAAAUUAAAAAUAAAAAUGAAUUUUUUCUCUUUAUUCAAGAAAAAGAAAAGAAAUGAAAAAGAGAAAAAUGAAAAAAAAGGAAAUUGUUUGAAAAUUUGAAAAGUUAAUACACUGAAGUAGACUAAAAUAAAAUGAUGGGAGUAAAAUGGAAUUUCAAAAAUUUACACAAAAAUAAAAAAUACAGUAAAAAAAUUGAAAAUAUUUUUAAUAAAAAUUGAAAAUAAAAAUGAAUUUUUUCUCUUUUUUUUGCUGAAUUCUGUGGUUCAGGUUGUGCAGAUAGUUUUGUUAAUCAUCAGAUCAGUUUUAUAGGUGUGCAGGAUGGUUUAGUGUUGGUCUGGCUGUAUUUCAUUGAUGCAAGACACACAAAAAACUUCCAUGCUGUUCCACCAUCUUGACUCCCUCCAAGUCUGGGCACUUUUUAAUCUGGACCCUGGUGAGGGUGAGUCCUUUAGAAAUGUUUCUCAGUUUGUACUAAAGCCUUGUGGAUCUCUGGACACGAGCCCUAUUGACUUUGAAAACACAAUGUUUUGGAGGCUCAUCCUUCAGAUGCAGGUCUUAAGAUUUGGUGUUCCCAUGGGGUGCAUGUGUGGCUCAGUCAGUUGAGUGUUCAAGUUCAGCUCAGGUCAUGAUCUCACAGUUCAUGAAUUCGAGCCCUGCAUCGGGCUCUGUGCUGGCUUUAGAUUCUGUGUCUCCCUCUCUCUCUGCCCCUUCCCUGCUUGUGCUCUGUCUGGCUCUCUCUCAAAAAUAAAUUAAAAAAAAAGAUUUGGGGUUCCCAAUAUUGGUUUCAUACCUUUUGCUCCUCAGAGAGAAGCUCAGUAUUUUGAGCUCCCGCACCGUUGUGAGUUGCCACCCCAGGGUGUGGUUUAUGGUGAGACUGUCUUCUUCUCCCUGCUUGGAUGUGGGUUUCUUCUCAUUUGCUGGAUAUGUAGGAGUCUCUCAGCUAGUUUUAGCUUUGUUUGUUUGCUUUUUUUUUCCAGAGGAAAUUGUGCCACAUGUAGUUGUAGAUUCGGUGUGUCCACGGGAGGAGAAGAAUUCAGGAUUUUUCUUUGUGGCCAUCAUGAACCACAGCAUCUUUAGUGAAUUGUCCUUCGUGGCCAUCAUGAACCACAACAUCUUUAGUGUAUAGACAUGUUUGAACCCAUAAGGAUCAGACUGUUGAGCAGUUGUUGAUGCCAGCCAUCAAAUCAGGAUUUAAAUAGCUUUGGUGAUGGGGUGCCUGGGUGUCUCAGUUGGUUGAGUGACCGACUUUGGUUCAGGUCAUAAUCUCAAGGUUUGUGAGUUUGAGCCCCACGUCAGGCUCACUGUUGUCAUCAUAGAGCCUGCUUGGGGUCCUGUUUCCCCCAGCAGCCUCUCUCUGCCCCUCCCCCACUCACACUCUCUCUCUCAAAAAUAAAUAAACAUUCUUAAAAAAUAGCUUUGGGGGCACCUGGGUGGCUUGGUUGGUUAAACUAAAUUCAGCUCAAGUCAUGAUCUCACAGUUCUGUGAGUUUGAGCCCAGUAUCGGGCUCUGCACAGACAGUGUGGAGCCUGCUUGGGAUUGUCUCUCUCCCUCUCUGUGUCUCAAAAUAAAUAAGUAAAGUUAAAAAAUAUAGCUUUGGCAAAACAUCUUCCAUGGAACCUAUUUCAGCUUAAGGUGGUUAAUCAGAAAUUUUAUAUUAUAAGGGCUUACCCUUCUUUGGAGGAUGUGAUGCAUUGCCCAGACCCCUGCUUAAGGAUUAAAGGGCUCAGUCCCCUAGCUACUGAGAAGGUUGUUGGCUAAUAUCUGUCUUUGGGAAUUGCCACCUGGUGGAGCCCAAGGUUACACCCGCCCCCUGGGGGCAGCCUUCAUCCCAUGGUGCUAAAAUAUAAAAGCCCCUCCCCCUCUCCUGGCUGGGGAGAAGAACUCGGAAGGGCCAUUCUUGGUCCAGACUUCCCUCUGGGAUUGGCUGAGACUUGUUGUACCUGCUCCAUAGCCCAGCUUCCCCCUCUGCCCUAUCCUGCUCUGUUCCCUUUCUCCCAUGGGCAUUGAACCAAGGGCACUCCCAAAUACACCUCUGUACCCAAAUCAGCAUCUCAGAGUCUGCUUCCUGGGGAACACAGCCUGCGAAACCAGGUCUCAGUAGGAGGUGAAAAAAAAAUAGUUCUCAGAUCCUUAUUGUGUGAGAAAAGACUCACUUUUGAGAUUUUCUGCCUUUGAUCAUUAAAAAGGAAAGAGAAAAAAAUGACCCUUUUGGAAAUUUGCUCAGUCUUUCUGCUGAACCAGACACUCUGCUCUAUAUUGUUUCCCUUUAUUUACUAACUUUCACCCUGAUUUUAAUUUAUCUCAAAAUAAGAAAAGCCAAACCUUCUUGAGCCCAUUUUUGCAAGUGUAAUUUGUUGCAGAACAGAAAAUGACAGGAGGACCUUGAAGGACAAGGCAUUUGUUGGAACAAGAAAUGCAGAACAUUAUAGCAGAAUGGAGUACUUUUGGUAAUGAUGCAUGGGGUUGAAAUGAUGUGAAAGGGAGGUCAUUUAACCAUGUAAAUUGAAUGAAGGAGCAUUCCAUGAGAAUGACCCCAGGCUCCAGUUUUCAGAACAAGAAGGUGGUAGGUCUCAGAAUGAGGUCACCCUAGCACACGUGGCACUGAGUCCAUCCGUCCACUUGGGUUUGGCAACCUGGUUUAAUUCUCUGCUGGAGCAUGGAUUAGUUUUCAUCUCAACAGUCCUUCUGCUUCUCGGAGGGUAAAAAAUAGGCCCAUUUUACAAUAUACUGCAAGGUAUCUCAGGGUAAGAGCUAUGUUAGGGAAGGAGGAUUUUCACAAACAAAUUGGCGACUCAAUUGGAGCUGGAGUUGCUGUUGAAGGUCUCAGGAACAGGUUAAAACAGUUGCAUUUGCUGGAGAAAAGGAAGAGGAGGAAGGGCUGUUAACCGUUGUCAUUGUUUUUUCUCCAGUAUUUCCUACCAAGCAACUGCUUUGGGAUAAUAACAAAAUGAUUUCACUAUGGAAAAAAAAUGCAGAGAAAAGGAACUGGAGCUGUUUGAUUGGCUAAUAAUGAACAUAAAGGACUUCAUGCUUGUUGAAUGGCAGAUUGAAAUCCACACGAUGACCAGACCUGAACCCCAGAUGCAAUCUAAUCAGCAAAGAAGACCCCCCCAAGGAUUUUCACCUUUUGAGACAUAGAUACAGUGCUUCUGUGUCACAUCCCUGGUAUCUACGUCAUGCCGUCUUGUAUUACGUUUCUUGGAUAUUUUAACCUUUAAAUGGCUAAACUUGUCUGCAAAAAAAGCCUGCUCCCUGGCCACAAAGGGUUAGCACUGGAGAGCUGCAGAGAGGAGGCUGGAGAUUGGUCCUGAGAACACACCAGAGCUUUUCAGGGAAACAAUGGAGGAAAAAGAAAAAAAUACAAGGGAGGUCUCCUGAUAAAUGGUGCCUUUCAGGAUGUCAGCCCAAUGAAAAAUGAGAUCUGGUGGUUUCAAACUUGGGCCAGUGGUGGUGAGUAAUUAAUGGCCAACUCAUUUGAACUUGUGUGCUUGAUCUAAUUUGGGAUAUUGAGAGUUCACACUGAUUUGCCUUUAAAAAGAAUGUCACUGUCAAAUAAGGUGAUUGUAUAAGAUUGAUAUGGAGAGCCCUGACUUGGAUGUAUAGCACAAUUUAUAUUUAGAGAGGCAGGAGCAGUGUUAUUCCUAAGCGUGUGUGUAGCGGUGCCACCAUAUCUGGAGGGAAAGCUGGUGUCCUUUCUAUACAGGAUUUAAACAGGGAUCACUUCAGGUAUAAAUGGUAGAUGGUAUUUAUUUUUUCAAGCACAUCACAAAUAUGUCUUAAAUGUCUUUUUGCUGUGUUCAGACCUGUGGAUAAAACAGUAAUACAGUAUGGCCUCUGCUUUUGUAUUACCUCUGUUGUGGUUGGGGAAGAAUGGGAAGGCAAAGAACAAAUAGCACAAAUCAGUACAAUAAUUGCAAUAAGAAUGAUAAAUGCUGUGAAGGAAACAUACAAGGAGCAUGAUUUAAGGAGUUACGGGGUGGUAGAUAUAAUCUUUAACAAGGGACCUAACCUUUUUGAAUAUACUCUUUGUAAAUUAUAAAGGACUGUAUAUACAUGAAUUAUCAUCACCCAGUUAUGUGCAGUCCUACUGGUUGCCUCAGUGAAUCUGCCACCUUGAAUCACUGUUAGUGGUCCAUCUGGGUGAUCCCGUUUCGAAGAACCAAAUACCAAGAGGAUUGCUCUUUGGUUGUGGCUUCUCAGAAGCCUUUGCAAAGCUUAUUACUGCUCUAAUGAGUCCAAAGGGUGGCUUUCUUUUCUUGGGCCUGCUAUGGGAUUUCUGCUAACCUUUGUUUAGGUCUAAAAUUGAGGGUCUUACCUGGAGACAUAAGGUGGUACAGGGUAGAUCAAGAUCUAGUUCUGGUAUCAGAAGUCUGGUGUUCCAUUCCUAGCUUUACCCCUUACUGGUUUCUUGACUUUAGUCAACUUACAGAUUUUUCCAAACAUCUACUCCUUGUCA